rnacentral:rRNA from 1 species
GCAAAACGCGAAGAACCUUACCAGGCCUUGACAUCCAAUGAACUUUCUAGAGAUAGAUUGGUGCCUUCGGGAACAUUGAGACAGGUGCUGCAUGGCUGUCGUCAGCUCGUGUCGUGAGGUGUUGGGUUAAGUCCCGUAACGAGCGCAACCCUUGUCCUUAGUUACCAGCACGUAAUGGUGGGCACUCUAAGGAGACUGCCGGUGACAAACCGGAGGAAGGUGGGGAUGACGUCAAGUCAUCAUGGCCCUUACGGCCUGGGCUACACACGUGCUACAAUGGUCGGUACAAAGGGUUGCCAAGCCGCGAGGUGGAGCUAAUCCCAUAAAACCGAUCGUAGUCCGGAUCGCAGUCUGCAACUCGACUGCGUGAAGUCGGAAUCGCUAGUAAUCGUGAAUCAGAAUGUCGCGGUGAAUACGUUCCCGGGUCUUGUACACACCG